AUACGUAGGGAACAAGCGUUGUCCGGAUUUACUGGGCGUAAAGGGCGCGCCAGGCGGUUUUUUAAGUCAGAUGUGAAAGGUACCGGCUCAACCGGUGACAUGCAUUUGAAACUGAAAGACUUGAGUAUUGGAGAGGCAAGUGGAAUUCCUAGUGUAGCGGUGAAAUGCGUAGAGAUUAGGAGGAACACCAGUGGCGAAGGCGGCUUGCUGGACAAAUACUGACGCUGAGGUGCGAAAGCGUGGGGAGC
rnacentral:rRNA from 1 species